rnacentral:rRNA from 1 species
CUAUAUAUUCAUGCUUAUAACUGUCUCUUCUAGAGACAAAUUUUAUGACUUCUGAUCUCAAAUCAGGUAGGACUACCCGCUGAACUUAAGCAUAU